GUAGUCUGGUAUUGCUGAUUAUUAUUCUUCAUUUUAAAUAGGUAGUAGUAGAUAGUGAACCUUGUAUAUAGAGAUAAUCUUCUCAAGUUCAAGGUAAGAUCAACCUAAAAACUCAAAUCCUUAAGCCAUUAAAAUUUAGGUUAUACCAUAUUAUAUGGGUUGCAUUUGAUAUUCGUAUCCCCACUAAAUCUAGUCCUCAUACCAAACAUCCGUAAAACAAAAGGGACCUUGUGAGAUGACCUAUUUGAAACAAAAAUUUGUAAUGAAAUUUAGAACUGUGACAAA